rnacentral:rRNA from 1 species
AUGUCCAACCCACCGGCGAGCCCCUCCGGCGACGUCGGGAGCCGCAUUAGUGGCAGCCUCGCGGCCGGCGGCAGCAGGGAGGAGCGGGGCGCGUUCCUGCCCAUCGCCGACAUCAGGCGCAUCAUGAGGAAGGCCAUCCCGCCCAACGGGGAGAUCGACGAGGAGGCCGCGCAGGAGCUCGUCCCCGAGGCGAGGGGCGACGGAUGCAAGAGGGCGAGGCCGGAGGCCAUGGCCGGCGACGACCUGCUGCCCGAGAUGGCGAAGCAGGGGUUUCAGGCCUACCCGCACAAGAACAGAGUGGAGCUCCCUUGCACAAUGGAGGCUGAGCCAAACCCAUUGCCUGUAUCUGAUGCCAGGGAUUGGUCUGAGCUCCCACUCGAUGCGCUUUCUGCAAUCUUCAUGAAGCUUGGGACCAUUGAGAUCCUGAUGGGUGCCGGACUUGUGUGCCGCUCAUGGUUGGUGGCAGCCAAGUCCCCUGAGCUGUGGCGUUUUGUGGACAUGACCCGCCACAAGUUGGUUUUCUCCAAGGGGGGAAACGUCAUGUACAAAAUGGCAAAGGUGGCUAUAGAUCGGUCUGAUGGACGGAUGGAAUCGUUCUGGGCUCAGAAGUUUGUCACUAGUGAACUCCUGAAUUACAUUGCAAGCAGAUGCAACUCAUUGAAGAGCAUUCGGCUCAUCGGUGCCUAUUACUUUUGGGAUGAUGAGGACGUAGUAAUUAAGCUUGCAGCUAAAUGUCCAAUGCUAGAAGAGAUAGAGUACUCUGGUCAGAAGCUGACAUGGGACUUUUUCAAGGGGAUUGGUGCAGCGCGCCCAGCGCUGAAGCGUCUAAGAGUCUGUUUGCCGUGGUUCGAUUCAGAUUCAAUAGAGCGUGAGAUCAGGAUGGAACAGCGCCAAAACGACGAGGAGGAAGAGGAGGAGGAGGAGGAGCCUUAUGAGGCCUGGGAGGCGAGACACAAUGAGGAGGCCUUCGCCAUAGCAAAGAGCUUGCACGAGCUGCGGCUCCUUCAGAUGGCAGGCUACGGCCUGACUAAGAAAGGGGUGUAUGCCAUCCUUGAAGGCUGCCCCCACCUUGAGUUCCUUGACCUUAGAGAAUGCGGCCACCUCCUAGUUGACGCUGAACUCAAAGCUCGCUGUGCCAAUAUCAAGCAUGUCCGGCUGCCAGGAGCAUGGCCUCACGCUCAUUGCCCAGAACUUGAUACCAUUGAGGAGGACGAAGGUGAAGUGAUCGAGAUGCCUAAUCUCUAUGAAAUAGAGGCUCAGGCUCUCCACAACGAGGCAGCGAUGGACAAUGAUGACUACGGCGAGAACUACUGGGAUGACUACUCGCUCCCCUCCCCCCCUGGCUCGCCUGUGCCGACCUACUCCAUGGAUGAUCCCAGAUACUACUGGGAGCUGUAA